CUAAAGUAUACUGUAGGUAUAUUUUUUAGUGGCUACGUGGCUACGCGGCUACGCAGUGAGUUUUUAUAAAAGAACGAGAAAUUGGUAUAAUGACGUAAUUAUUAAAGUAUACUGUAGGUAUAUUUUUUAGUGGCUACGUGGCUACGUGGCUACGCAGUGAGUUUUUAUAAAAGGAAGAGACAUUGAUAUAAUGACGUAAUUACUAAAGUAUAAUACUGUAGGUAUAUUUUUUAGUGGCUACGUGGCUACG